GGGUCGGGGCUGCGGGAGGGGGGGCGCCCGCCGCGCAAGGCAGGCCGGGAGCUGCCCAUAUCCGGGAAGCCCUCCGCCGCGGAGACACCGACAAAAUGGCGGCGCCGAACUGAGAGGCCCGUGGCGGCGGCGGCGGGCGCUGGCGGAGGGACUGAGGAGCCGCUGCCGGCAUCGCGGAGGGCCGCGGCGGUCGUCGCCGCGCGGGCGGGGCCGAGCUCUGUGCGCCCACGCCCGGGCCCGGGGCGCUGCCGCCGCCACCUUCUCGCCGCAGGAUAGCAGUUUUGGGUUGUGACGAACUUCAGCACUACAGGAACCAUGGUUUCACAGUGAAGAGCCACUGCUUUCCCCAGUUCUGAAGCUACCAGCCAGCCUUCCUUGAAUUUUGGUGUGUGCGAGUCCUUGGUGGAGGCUGCAUAUAUACAUGUUUUCAUGAAGAGAAGUGAGAAGCCAGAAGGUUAUAGACAAAUGAGGCCUAAGACUUUUCCUGCCAGUAACUAUACUGGCAGCAGCCAGCAGAUGCUACAGGAAAUACGAGAGAGCCUCAGGAAUUUACCUAAACCCUCAGAUGCUGCUAAAGCUGAUCACAGCAUGGGCAAAAUGUUAUCUGAAGAUCCGAGACAAGGCAGAAAUCCCCCCAAAUUUGUAACAUACCAUAAAGUUUUACAGGAGAUCAGAAACUCGCUUCUGCCUUUUGCAAAUGAAACAACCUCAGCUGUCAAAGGAACGUCAGAGGUUAAUCGACAAAUGCUGCAAGACUUACAAGCUGCUGGCUUUGAUGAGGAUAUGGUUAUACAAGCUCUUAGACAAACUAACAACCGUAGUAUAGAAGCUGCCAUCGAAUUUAUAAGUAAAAUGAGCUACCAGGAUCCUCGUCGGGAGCAGAUGGUUGCAGCAGCAGCAAGGCCUGUGAAUGCAGGGAUGAAACCACCAGGAGGGACUGUACAGCAGUCAGUUAACCGCAAGCAGAGCUGGAAGGGUUCUAAGGAGUCCUUGGUUCCUCAGCGGCAUGGGCCUUCCCUGGGAGAUGGUGUAGUUUAUCGCUCGGAAAGCCCCAGCUCUCAGCCUGAUGUGGGAAGGCCGUUAUCUGGAUCUGGCAUUGCAGCAUUUGCUCAGGCUCAUCCUGGCAAUGGACAAAGAGUGAACCCCCCGCCCCUACCACAGAUAAGGAGCGUCACUCCUCCUCCUCCACCUCCUCGAGGACAGACACCCCCUCCAAGGGGAACGACUCCUCCACCUCCUUCCUGGGAACCAAACUCUCAAACAAAGCGUUAUUCUGGAAACAUGGAGUAUGUGAUCUCCCGUAUUUCUCCGGUGCCACCAGGAGCGUGGCAGGAUGGUUACCCACCUCCACCUAUGAAUCCUCCACCCAUAAAUUCUUCCACGCAGGGUCAGAGAGGCAUGAGCACUGUCCCCAUUGGCAGGCAACCAAUAAUCAUGCAGAGUUCUGCCAACAGCAAAUUUAGUUUUCCCUCAGGAAGAGCUGGAAUGCAAAAUGGCAAUUGUCAGGCCGAGUUCAUAGUUCACCCAAAUGUGGUGUCUGGGAACUCGGUGAGUCGCCAGCCACCCCCAUACUCCAUGAAUCCAACCAACAGGCAAAGUCCCACAGCACUACAGAUGCAGGCAGGGGGAUCUGCUCCUCCUCCGGCAUACACCAACGGGAAUCUUCCUCAGGCAAUGAUGGUGCCAAAUAGGAACAGUCACAACAUGGAACUUUACAAUACAACUGUAGCUGGAAUACCUGCGUCUUGGUCACAGCCUUCCCCUGUGCAGCCACAGUCAUCGCCUGGCAAUGGGCAUGACAUGCCUGCGUGGCAGCCCAAUGUUCCCGUACGGUCAAAUUCUUUCAACAACCAUCAUGGCAAUAGGCAGAGUCACUCCGGCAGCUCUCAGCCUUCAGCUACCACAGUAACAGCUAUAACACCAGCUCCCAUUCAGCCACCAGUAAAAAGUAUGCGUGUGUUAAAACCUGAGCUCCAGACUGCCCUAGCGCCCAGUCACCCUUCCUGGAUGCCACAGCCAGUGCAAACCGUUCAGACCAUUCCCUUCUCUGAGAGCCCAUCUACAAACAUGGCGGUUAUGGCUCCUGUUGGGGAAGCUCCAAAUUACCAGGGUCCUCCCCCACCUUACCCAAAACACUUGUUACACCAGAAUCCCUCUGUCAAUCUGUAUGAGGCAGGACCCAAGCUCAACAAGGAGGAGCCACCUAUUUUAUCCAGGGAGGAUGAGAAUGAAAAGAAUUACGAAUGUGUUGACUCAACAGAUAAAGAAAAGAAACAAAUUACAACAUCACCUGUUCCUGUUAGAAAAAACAAGAAAGAUGAAGAAAGAAGAGAGUCCCGCAUUCAAAGCUAUUCCCCUCAGGCCUUUAAGUUCUUCAUGGAGCAGCACGUGGAGAAUAUACUGAAGUCGCAUCAACAGCGUUUGCAUCGGAAAAAACAACUAGAGAAUGAGAUGAUGCGGCUGAUUUAAACUGUUAAGGUGUGGGAAGCUUUCCUGAACUCUGUAGCCUCCAUCCCUGUGUAGACAAGUUGGAUUGUCACCAGAAGCCCGAGAUCAAAUGAGGAAAAUGUUGUGCCAGAAAGAGUCGAAUUAUAUUCGGCUAAGAAGAGCUAAAAUGGACAAGUCGAUGUUUGUAAAAAUUAAAACCCUGGGAGUUGGUGCAUUUGGAGAAGUUUGCUUAGCAAGAAAAGUGGAUACUAAUGCAUUGUAUGCAACCAAAACACUGAGGAAAAAAGACGUCUUGCUUAGAAAUCAAGUCGCUCAUGUGAAAGCUGAGCGGGAUAUCCUUGCAGAAGCUGAUAAUGAAUGGGUGGUUCGCCUGUACUAUUCAUUCCAAGAUAAGGACAAUUUGUACUUUGUAAUGGACUACAUUCCAGGAGGAGAUAUGAUGAGUCUUCUAAUUAGAAUGGGUGUAUUUCCAGAAAAUCUGGCACGGUUCUACACAGCAGAACUGACCUGUGCAGUUGAAAGUGUUCAUAAAAUGGGCUUCAUCCACAGAGAUAUUAAACCUGAUAAUAUCUUGAUAGACCGCGAUGGUCAUAUUAAAUUGACUGACUUCGGGCUCUGUACAGGUUUUCGAUGGACCCACGAUUCAAAAUACUACCAAAGUGGUGAUCAUGCACGUCAAGACAGUAUGGAUUUCAGCAGUGAAUGGGGUGACCCAGCAAACUGCAGGUGUGGAGAUCGGCUGAAGCCACUUGAACGCAGGGCUGCACGUCAGCAUCAGCGCUGUCUGGCCCAUUCCCUUGUUGGCACACCCAAUUAUAUUGCACCAGAAGUGUUAUUGCGAACAGGGUACACACAGUUGUGCGACUGGUGGAGUGUUGGAGUAAUUCUCUUUGAAAUGCUGGUGGGGCAGCCUCCGUUCCUGGCACAAACACCACUGGAAACACAAAUGAAGGUUAUCAACUGGCAAACUGCGCUUCAUAUUCCACCUCAAGCUAAAUUGACUCCAGAGGCCUCCGACCUUAUCAUUAAACUCUGCCGAGGGCCAGAAGAUCGCUUAGGCAAAAAUGGUGCAGAUGAAAUAAAAGCUCAUCCAUUUUUUAAAACAAUUGAUUUUUCAAGCGAUCUACGGCGGCAGUCUGCUUUCUACAUUCCCAAAAUUGCCCAUCCUACAGACACAUCCAACUUUGAUCCAGUUGAUCCAGAUAAAUUGUGGAGUGAUGAUGAUAAGGAAGGGAACAGAAACGAUACACUUAAUGGAUGGUACAAAAAUGGAAAGCAUCCUGAGCAUGCUUUCUAUGAGUUCACCUUCCGAAGGUUUUUUGAUGACAAUGGCUACCCAUACAACAAUCCAAAGCCCAUUGAGUACGAGUAUGGUAGUUCCCAAAACUCGGAACAGCAGUCAGAUGAUGAUGAUGACGACGAACAGGCAGGUAGAGGAGUUCAGAAUCGUGACCUGGUUUAUGUUUAGUAGAGGAAUAAAGAUUAAAAACUAAAUAAACUUAUUUUGCAGCUGAAGCUUUUGAAAAGGCUCUUCUCUUAAGAGAAUUAAGAAAAGAUUGCUACAGUAAAUACAUGCACGCUUUUUAUUUUUAAAACACUAAGGAAAUUGUCUUCUCCUUCCCUCUCUGUACAUUUUGUUUCCCCAGAAUACAGGGAAAUCCUUCUCAAAUAUUAAUUUAUUCCAGCAUUAUUAAUUCUUUAAUUUAGAAGAGAGAGAUUUGAUGUUAGGUGGAGAAAAAAAAAUAAAUCACUUGAAUUUUAUUAUUGGUUCUCUGUACUCUAAGUACUCAAAAUAGGAAAUAGGGAUCAAGAUUUUUUUUCCCUGAAGAUGAUGCCUGUUAUCUAUUUGUACAUAUACUGAAUAAUUUUAGAAAACAAAUCUCUGCUUCAGAAUUUUUAAUGACAGUUUUUCCUUGCAUUGACCAAAUAUAAAACCUGCUUUAUGCUUAAUAGAGCUCUCUCAUACAUUUCCGAAGAGAAAAAAGAAAAAGGCUGCUGUACCUCACUUCUCACUGUAUUUAGCCUGAUAAUUCGCAGUGUUGGAAAAACUGAGCCAUCUCUCUGGUGAAAUGUUUCCAGCUGCUGUGGUAGUGGUAUAGUUCUCAGCUUUGGAACAAGAAAGUAUCAGUCUUUGCUAUAGUGUGAUUGUAAAGUGAUAAAGAAUUAGAAGUAGUAUUUUAUUAAAUAGUAAUUGAAUUUUACAUUAGUAAUGCUGUAGCAUGUGCCUGGUACUCCUAAAGCAGAAGGACUGCUCACUCGGGAGCAACUUGAUUGUAUCCUGUCAUCAGUUCUCCUAUCAUUAUGAGAGGAAAAGAAACUUUAGCAAAAACAGUUUUUGAAAUGUAGUUUGGUUUCCUGACUACAACCAAACUGUAAAGUGUGUACAGUUCUGCUUUAGUUGACAUUUCUAGUUUGAAAAAGAAAUUCUAGAAUAAUUUCUUUAUUACAUGUUUGAGAUAGUAAUGGAGAAAAGAUGAUAAAUUAUGGCUUUUGAGACUGUUGUUGUGGAGAGCAGUUUCACUGGCUUCAAUAGUUUUCCUCCUAGUUACGCAGACAGUGAGGAGAAAUGUCAUGCACCAGUCCAUCUGAGCCAUCACUACGAUUUCAGUGGUCCAUCUUUCACAGUCCAGUUCAUAACAGAAUUAGGAACUGCACCGCUGUGUCUGCUGCCUUCUGCAUUACUGUUUUCAUAAUUUCCCUCAGCAGGUGAGCAGACAUCCCCUUGGGUCUCAUGGUGGGAGGGUACUGAGCCUGCUGAGGUUGCUGGGACCAGGGAGGGGGACAACCCUCUAAGCAGCUUCCCUGGGACAAGACCACGAGCUACAAGUGAGAGGCAGGAAGAAUUACGGGGUUUACCUCUCCUUCUCUCUCCCCUCCUUUCUCCUGAAGCUAACACAGUGGUAAAGAAAAUGCACUAUUUUUAGUAAACUUCAUGUCUUUUAUAACAUUGCCUCCUCCUUGGAAUUGAGUUCCAAUGGAUAGUCUAAUAAUGUGCCUGUAAGCAUUACUGCUUUCUUGAAUUAUUUGUGCCAUUGCACUGGCAUUGUGACUGUCUAAACAUCAUGAAAUUGGUGUUCAUAGCUGUUCUUGCAGCAAACGCCAGUUACCAGUUUACUUUUCUCACCAAGCUGGUUUAAGAAAUUCUGGUGCGCUUCAGGCCAUUUCUUCCCUUUCUGUGCGUGUCUCUGUGCCAGUGCAACUGUCUGUAGUUCUGUGCAAAAUACUGGAUCAGUGAAAAAACCGCUUGGUGUUUAGUGUUCGGAGGUGUCUUGUAAGUGUAUUCAUCUGAGUGAGCCAGUUUCCAGUGUGGUCCAAAAAGUUAUAACUGAGGAAGGAGUAAACUGCAGAAAAGGCAGUUUGGCAGCGGGGAAAUGUCUUAAACGGACUCGGUCACAGGAGAAAACAUUUGUGGAAGUUCAUCCCUCUGCUGUGAAGUCCUUAUCAUGGUUAGAAGAUGGUUUUCUUUUCUCAAGCAGGUAGUUAGUUACUUUCUGUAAUGAAAAUGGGUUUGUAUCUUAAUAAAAUUCAUGUUCUGUCUGCCUGUUCCACAGUUGUUGAAAUAGAAUAGCUUUUAAGAUUCAUUUCAUUUAGCCUAAAUAGUAUAAAAUGGCUGCAGUGUGUAACUACUCCAUUUUAUAUAUUAUGUAAAAAAAGAUUGUUUCCCAUGUAAAUAAACUUUAAAGAUUAUCCUCCUUCAUACUAAGUAUCCCAGUAAAACUGGUCUAUUUGUCUUGGAGUAAAGUAUAAUAUAUUACUGGUUAAAGUAAUUUAAUCAAGCCUGCUUUACCAUUUGUGAAGUGUGCAGAGAAAAUAAUGUCAAUUCUUCAUUAAAUUGACUGUUAAAAUUGCCGUUUUAUCUGAGCAUAUUUCUCCUCUGCCUGCAUUGUAUUAUGGUAUAUCCUGUUUUACACUAUAACUGGUCUUUAGCCAAUGUGUUGAAAACAAAAAAAGGGUCCUGUAAAGGCAUCACUGCAGUUCCAUAAAAGCAAAACUGUUUGCUUUUUUUAAGGACACGUGCAAGUACUGAAAUAUUAAAUAUUCUGCAAUUUUUAAAGAAAUACAGGGAGACCUCUCACCUGUAGAAUUUGGUAGGUGCUUCUGGCAUUUUCUGUUACCUUGUGUUAGAAGUCGUAGUAUACCUUGUUUGAAUUUUGCCACCUAUAUGCUGCAAUAUUGUAUAUUUUCUUGCAGAAAUGUAGUGUGUGACAGUCCAAGUUCUCUGAGAAAGUUAGUUCUACAUAAAUGUUGUCACAACUGUCCAACAUGCUCUGCCUGACCCAUGUUUUGAAACUUCUCGUUUCAUACGUAGAUUCAGAGUCUGUUGAGAUUCUUCAUAGCUGCUGCUUAAAACAUGGGUGUUUCACUGGUGACCUAUGAUGGGGAUUGGUUUGUACAGGCAGGUGAGCAAAGAGGCUCUUAACCAGCAGCUGUGGAAUUCUGCAGUAAGUUUUAGUUCAGGUUACUUUCACUUUGUAUAGCAUGAAAGCAAAUUUCUUUUAUGUGCCCUUGUAUACAUAUUAAUUGUAUUUAUAAAGUAUUCUAUAAUCCUGUAACUGUACUGUAAAUACUACUUGAUACUCAGUGGCAUUCUAUCGUAGGGCAGGCCCUCUUGCUGUGUCUUUUC